CGAGUGGCGAACGGGUGAGUAACAUAUCGGAACGUGCCUAGUAAUGGGGAAUAACUAAUCGAAAGAUUAGCUAAUACCGCAUACGACCUACGGGUGAAAGCGGGGGACCUUCGGGCCUCGCGCGAUUGGAGCGGCCGAUAUCUGAUUAGGUAGUUGGUGGGGUAAAGGCCUACCAAGCCGACGAUCAGUAGCUGGUCUGAGAGGACGAUCAGCCACACUGGAACUGAGACACGGUCCAGACUCC
rnacentral:rRNA from 1 species